UUCUGGAGGUCUCCAGCCCACUCCCAAGUCACACAGCCAUCCCUAGGGAGGGGGGACUGGGGAACCAGUCUGGAGUCUUCCUCCCACCCAAGAGACGGAAGUGAAGGCAGGCAGCCUCUCACCCAUAGCAGCAAAGAGGAGGGGUCCUCUUGAACCCUAGGGAGAGGGGUCAACCGGGCUGGCAUCAGGCACAACUUGAGCCACGUUGGCAGAGACCUCCCCAGGCUCUGGCCUCCCCCAAAGGCCAGUUCUGUGGCAGGACAGGCUGGCAAGGGUUGUUUACAUGGCUGUUAUUCACAAUCCCUUCCUUCCCCAGCUCCCCUGGGGGUGGCUGGACCUGAGUGAGGCAGGGGAGAGAACUUGGGAGGGUCCAGCAGGGCCUGGAGUCCCUAGGCUCUGAAACUGGCUUCAGGCAAGAUGGUGGUCCCUGGUCCUGGCCUCUGGCUUGCCUGCUCAGCAGUCCAGCCGGGGGAGAGUCCAGGGCAGAGUCCUGUGGCUUAGGGCCUGGGAGAGGCCAGCAUGGGAACCUGGACUGUCCAGUGCCCGAGGGCUGUUGCUGUCAUCCCCAGGGAGAUGGGGACUGGUCCUGGGGGAAUGGAACAGGACCUCCCUUCCGCGUACCCCGAGUUGCCAUGUCAGCCUUGUUAAGUCACAGUCCGGGACCUGGACCAGGGCUCUCAGGACGGGCUCCUGGAGUGUCCAGGGGCUGCUGGGAGCUGGCUCAGGGGGGAGAGGACCACUUCUCUACCCCAUCCUGGCUCCCAUCCUGCCUCAGCCCAUGCCACAGGCCAGAGCCCUUGUUGCUGACUGUUCUGCGCCUGACGAUUGAGCAGAGCUGAGGACACACAAAAGACACAAACACAAAAGGAAAGCCACCCAGCGCAUGGACACAAAGCCAGACCCAGGGACCAAGUCCCCUCAAGCUGAGGGCUGGAGGGCACCCACCAGGCCUCCCCAGCUCAGCCUGGGCCAGGGCACUGUUGAAUCGUGUUGCUGCUAAGUGCAACAGCUAAAAAUACAGCCACAGGCCAGUGUGUGCAGUGCCAUGGAUGCCAGGAGCAGGGAGCGGACCAGGACACCGAGGGGCUACAAGCUACAGUGAUGGUGCUAAAGAGCCAGAACUGGCCUAGACUUGGACUUCUCCUGGCUCUUCCUCUGGCCUCAGGAUGUCUUGGAAUCUGUACAACUGCCGUUCGCCAUUCACCAAUCUGCAUUGAAGCUCUGGGGACUUCCAGGCCUUGUGAAGUCGGGGCUUCAUGGAGGAGGUGAUACCUGAGCUUGGGAGUCAGAGAACAGGCAAAACUUCACCGAGUCACACACUUACAAAAAUAUUUUGCUUCCUUUAAGCCACUUGUUCCGGGCUGGAAUACAACAUUUGUGAAAUAAAUGAAGAUUAUGAUAAUCAUACCUACAUCCUGAGACUGUGGAGAGGAUUAAAUUAAUGUAUGUCUGGGGCUCAGAGCAGCAUCUGCCAACCACUACUACUCUUCACACCUUGUAUUUGGUACCUGCAGAUGCUGAACAUGGAUUGUGAGUGAAUUGAUGAAGAGGUAAAACGACACCACAAUGCAGAAGGGUGCCAUAUAUGAAGCCAUUGGGCACCAAUAUGAGAGGCAGUAAAUCACCCCAGCCGAUUAAGUGCCUUCCCCCAAUAAAACCCAG
rnacentral:lncRNA from 1 species